GCCUUUUCACUCCCAUUAACUGAGAAACUCCCCUUUCAGGAGUGCACAUCAGAAUUUGAAAAGCCGUAUUUGUAGAAGACAUCGAUGCGAAUUGUUUCUUGUUUUCUUCCUUCCCCCGCCCUCAGUAGCAUGUCAGUUCUAUGAGGAUAGAAUCCAUUUUAAGUCACCCUUACGUCCCUAAUACCUAGACAGUGUUUGGCACAGAGUUCGUGCUUAAUAAACAAUUAUUGAAGAAAGAAUUUAGAGAUUAACUAACCUCCGUUCCCUAAGGUCUGUGUCUUCACUCUGGACUGAGUAGCCAGACUCUCAGGCUGGGCUUUGGCCAUUGUUUAUGUCACAAGGAUGAGGUUUGUGGGUGUCGAAGGAAGACCCCAUUCAGAGCUAAUUUCUUGGUUCAGCUUUGCAAAUGCAGGGAGGGUGAUCAGAAAAGUCUGGGAGUGUUGGUGGACCCAUAGGCUUGUAAAGUGUUGGCCAUAUUAUGCCUCAAACCCUAAGCUCUUCAGUCAAGAUGGAAUUUGUGUCAUAGUCUCAGUGUGACAAUGCUGUUCAGUCAAUGUGAACAGCAAGCAGUGAAAAACAGACGCCAGACUACUAAAAUCCGUUACCUCUGGAGGAGAUGACAGGAGCAGGACAAGCAGAAACAAAGUUGCAAACGUUUUCAUGGGGCUCAUCCCUUCCCACUAGAAUGUAAGCUCUACACAGCAGAGAUUUCGGCCUCUUUGGUUUACUGAUAUGUCGCAGAGACGAGAAAAUUUCCUGCCACAUAGUAGCCCAUACCAACUUUAACUGAAUUCUGUUAUGGCAACCAAGACUUUAGCCAAUCUAAAAAUAAAGAUCUUCAGGGAUAGCGAGCUCCAGAAUUAAUCCUAGAGGAAAACCAUUUAAUAUGAAUGCUGCCAUGCACCUUCUUCUUGUUUUGUUGCUGAGCCAGAGGCCUGAAAACUUUGAUGACCAAGGUCCUCCAUCAUCAAACACCUUCAUCCAGGAGAAAGUCUGUGGAAAACCACACGACUCAGUCAUUGCCACCGUCAAACACCGACAGAAACAUCACAUCCUUUCUCGAGAUGUAUCCAAAGGAAAGAUGAGUUCAGGAUGUCUACAGCCCCAGCUAACCGAUCUCAAUUUCUCUUCAUGGAAAAAAACAAUAAAAAUUAUACCCUG
rnacentral:lncRNA from 1 species